rnacentral:rRNA from 1 species
UUGACCUCGAAUCAGGUAGGAAUACCCGCUGAACUUAAGCAUAUCAAUAAGCGGAGGAAAAGAAACCAACCGGGAUUACCUCAGUAACGGCGAGUGAAGCGGUAACAGCUCAAAUUUGAAAUCUGGCUCCUCUGGAGUCCGAGUUGUAAUUUGUAGAAGAUGCUUUGGGUUGUGGGCUCGGCCUAAGUUCCUUGGAACAGGACGUCAUAGAGGGUGAGAAUCCCGUAUGUGGCCGAGGCCCGCGCCUAUGUAAAGCUCUUUCAACGAGUCGAGUUGUUUGGGAAUGCAGCUCAAAAUGGGUGGUAAAUUUCAUCUAAAGCUAAAUAUGGGCCAGAGACCGAUAGCGCACAAGUAGAGUGAUCGAAAGAUGAAAAGCACUUUGGAAAGAGAGUUAAACAGUACGUGAAAUUGUUGAAAGGGAAGCGCUUGCACCCAGACUUGGGCGCUGCUGAUCACCUUGCGGUCUCCGCGAGUGCACUCGACAGCGCACAGGCCAGCAUCGGUUCGGGUGGCUGGAUAAAGGCCGUAGGAACGUAGCUCCCUUCGGGGAGUGUUAUAGCCUACGGUGCCAUGCAGCCCAACCGGACCGAGGACCGCGCCUUCGGGCUAGGAUGCUGGCGUAAUGGGUGUAAGCGACCCGUCUUGAAACACGGACCAAGG